GGGGGGCUUUUGGGGCCUUUUGGGGGGCUAUCGGGGCCUUCUGGGGGGCUUUUUGGGGAUCUUCCAGGACCUUUUGGGGCCUUUUGGGGGGCUUUUGGGGCCUUCAUGGGGGACAAGUGAGUGCUGUGAGCUGCCGGGACCUGGGGGGGCUUUGGGGGCUGCUGGGGGGCUGCUGGGGCCUUUUGAGGGGCUUUUUGGGGAUCUUCCAGGACCUUUUGGGGCCUUUUGGGGGACUUUUGGGGGGCUAUCGGGGCCUUUUGGGGGGCUAUCGGGGCCUUCUGGGGGGCUUUUUGGGGAUCUUCCAGGACCUUUUGGGGCCUUUUGGGGGGCUUUUGGGGCCUUCAUGGGGGACAAGUGAGUGCUGUGAGCUGCCGGGACCUGCGCGGGGCUUUGGGGCCUUUUGGGGGGCUGCAGGGGGGCUUUUGGGGCCUUAAUGGGGGCUUCUGGGGCCUUUUGGGGGCUUUUGGGGGCUGCAGGGGGCUUCUGAGGCCUUUUGGGGGGCUUUCUGGGGCCUUUUGGGGGCUAUCAGGGCCUUUUGGGGGGCUAUCGGGGCCUUUUGGGGGGCUUUUGGGGGACUUUUGGGGUUUUUUGGGGGGCUAUCAGGGCCUUUUGGGGCCUUUUGGGGGGCUGCAGGGGGCUUUUGGGGCCUUUUGGGGGGCUUCUGGGGC
rnacentral:lncRNA from 7 species